rnacentral:RNase_P_RNA from 1 species
AAAGCGGGCCGGAUCAUCGCUGUGCGCGGGGCCGCAAGGCAUCUGCGCAGGGAGGAAAGUCCGGGCUCCGCAGGGCACGGCGCCGGGUAACGCCCGGGUGGAGCGAUCCACGGCAAGUGCAACAGAAAGCAGACCGCCCCGCGUCACGCGGGGUAAGGGUGAAAGGGU